rnacentral:rRNA from 1 species
AGUGAACGCUGGCGGUAGGCCUAACACAUGCAAGUCGAACGGCAGCACAGUAAGAGCUUGCUCUUACGGGUGGCGAGUGGCGGACGGGUGAGGAAUACAUCGGCAUCUACUUUUUCGUGGGGGAUAACGUAGGGAAACUUACGCUAAUACCGCAUACGACCUACGGGUGAAAGCAGGGGAUCUUCGGACCUUGCGCGAUUGAAUGAGCCGAUGUCGGAUUAGCUAGUUGGCGGGGUAAAGGCCCACCAAGGCGACGAUCCGUAGCUGGUCUGAGAGGAUGAUCAGCCACACUGGAACUGAGACACGGUCCAGACUCCUACGGGAGGCAGCAGUUGGGAAUAUUGGACAAUGGGCGCAAGCCUGAUCCAGCCAUACCGCGUGGGUGAAGGAGGCCUUCGGGUUGUAAAGCCCUUUUGUUGGGGAAGAAAAGCAGCAGGUUUAUACCCCGCUGUUCUGACGGUACCCAAAAAAUAAGCACCGGCUAACUUCGUG